GUUGCAAAGUAAGAAUCUGGGUUUUCAUCACAAAAUUUCCAGGCUAUUGAUUUUGAGAUAACAACUAGUGUCAUGGUAGUUUUGCUCUGCUAUGAACAUAUUUAUUAGGCCUGAAUACACAAUUUUACAAAAUAGGUUUACAUGCGUUCUCGUUAACAUGGACCUAAAGGUUGACAAACUCUUUGUAGCUGAGCAGACAAGUUAAUUUGUGUUAAGUUUUUGAAGCUGG
rnacentral:misc_RNA from 1 species